rnacentral:lncRNA from 1 species
AAAACAUACUGAGCUGAUACUUUUCUCCUUUGUUCUCCAUUUCUCUCUUUUAAUAUAUCCCCUCCUCCUUUCUUCCUCUCUAUUCCACUUCGUCUUUCUUGGUCACUGAAUUCUUUUUUUUUUUCCUUUCCAUGCCAUCAAAUCUAUUCUCUGGCUCUAACAUAGCUUAACUGAUAGCCUGUCUUUAUCUCAAAUUUUGAUAUUUUAUUAAUCGUGUUUUGAGGGUGUAUAAAU